GAACGAUUUGUUAUCAAGUUUAUGUUUUGAGCAUUUCUCAACAAAAUACACGCACAUUGAUGUCGAUUGCAACAGGUGUAGAUGUUGUGUUAGCUGUGAGGACGGACAGUGCCCCCACCCCGGCAGCCAGUAGCCGAUUUGUGAAAAACUGUAGUGUGCCCCCUUAAGGUGUAGAUGUUGUGUUAGCUGUGAGGACGGACAGUGCCCCCACCCCGGCAGCCAGUAGCCGAUUUGUGAAAAACUGUAGUGUGCCCCCUUAAGGUGUAGAUGUUGUGUUAGCUGUGAGGACGGACAGUGCCCCCACCCCGGCAGCCAGUAGCCGAUUUGUGAAAAACUGUAGUGUGCCCCCUUAAGGUGUAGAUGUUGUGUUAGCUGUGAGGACGGACAGUGCCCCCACCCCGGCAGCCAGUAGCCGAUUUGUGAAAAACUGUAGUGUGCCCCCUUAAGGUGUAGAUGUUGUGUUAGCUGUGAGGACGGACAGUGCCCCCACCCCGGCAGCCAGUAGCCGAUUUGUGAAAAACUGUAGUGUGCCCCCUUAAGUCAUAGCUUAUGGCCAGUGCAUUUUAUGCAAGUGUCCCUUCUUUGCACACAGUUCAACGGCUAAAAAACCUUGUAGAACAAAAGUCUGGAGGUGCAGGUGCAGCAGGUGCUUGCCGGUUAUGGGUGGGUGAGCAUGACCGCUAUGGAUAUGCGGUGCUGCGAGCCACAGUGGCCGGCAAGCGCAUACAUUUCCUCGCACACCGGCUUGCGUUCUUUUUGCACUUCUUGGGUACAAUGAUUUUGAUAGAUACAAUGAAUGUUUCACAUAUA